rnacentral:lncRNA from 1 species
AUGCUGCAUUGUCCCACGCUGACAUCAACAGCUGAUAUUCAUAACUCAGAGGAGACCCGUGUUUCCGACCAGAAAGGGAGGAGACUUGAGCCUAAUUUAUGCUUCUGCGUUGGUCCGGAAAGACGUAACGCCAUUAUCCGUCCUUGCAAAAGCUCUCCAGCAGGCAGGCGGACAGAGUCGACCUCACCUUUCUUAAGAUCCGUCCAACGAGAUGGAGAACACAAGCUUGUGAUUGGUCAGGACGCCGUUUUCAUCAACAGCACCGCCAUUUCGCUCUCAAAAACAUUAGGAGAGCCGGAGAUUUCUAGCGGCAGACACGGAGCAGCCUGAAGAAAAGCUCAUGGAAAAACUCUAAAAUUAUGAAUGUUUAAUUCACCCAUGCCUAGAGGAGUAUAAAGAUAUACAACAAGCGUUUUAUACGUGGUUGGAAAUGACGGGAAAUAUGGGUUUAGGGGUGACGAGCGCAUGAAGAGGUGGAGGAGAAUGAGGAACAAAUUUGCCCAUGUUAAAACGUAUCUGAAAUACAAAAACACAAUAUAAACACAAUAGUAAAUGCAUCAUCUUGGACCGGAUACAUGACAGGAUACUCCAGAACAGCAAUAUGCUCUCCGUUGUCCUGGUGGGUAAUUGCUUUGCUACACUCCCCAGGAGAUGGAGAAGUCCAAGGAAAACACACCUCUCCCUUGUAAAGCUGACUUAGAAGCAUAAACUAGGGUUUAGGCAUCCUAUUGAAUAGUUUAUUUACAAAGUCCCUUCCCGCUCCCAGUCAAGGAGGCCAGGGAGCUAUACAUAAUGCAAACAUACAUAAAAUCAUGUUAAACCACCAAUAAAGUAAAAAUGAACUCAUUAAGCAAUAAAAAACAAUGAAAUAAUUUUAAGCAAUAAGACCACAGAACAAUAACAAGACACUGUACACUAAAUGCAUUAAUAAAACCAGCUAAGUGAUCUAAAUCAACUGGGAGGGACAUGGACUGUUUUAUCUCUGAUGGAAGUUGGCUUUAGGAACAAAGAACUAUAACUGAAAAAGCCCAAUCACUCCUAGUCUUGUAUUUGGACUGAAGAGUCACAAGCAGGUCACUCUGAACCGAGCUUGUUGCAGGAACGUAACCAAUCACAAGUGAAGCUAAAUAUGGUGGCGAUGAUCCUGACAGAGACAAAGACCAGGAUUUUCACCAGAGCGCAGUAUUUCAUUGGUAGCCAGUUCAAGGAUGCUAGGAGUGGAGUAACAUGCUCCCCCUUUUGAGCUCCCCAUAUGAACCUGGCAGAAUUUUGCACCAGCUGCAGCCAUGAUUCUGAAGACUGGCUCAAGCUGGCACAAAGGGAAAUGCAGUAGUCCAAUCUAGAAGAAUUGUUCUGUUCUUUUGUGAGAAUUGGUUUAAUCCAAUCUAGGGCUGGGCGAAAUGACCUAAAAUCAAUAUCACAAUAUAUUGAGAUUUAUAGGAUCAUAGGAUUAUAUUUAUCACCUUGAUAACGAUAAAUGGACGAUAACUACAGGUAUGCAAAAGUUGUCCACUAGAUGGAGCUGUCACGUGUAUUAGUUGAGUCAUUUUUACGUGACUCAAGGUGGUACAGCUUCUUAAAGGGACAUGAGCGUUGCCAACCUACACACAUCUUUUCAUUUUUUCAUUAUCAAAUUUAUUGACAUGGGAAAAAUAAUCUUGAUAAGAGUCAGAAAUUUUGAUCACUUCGAUUGGGGGAAAACCAUGUAUCCUGUCUACAUAUCCUGGCCUGCCAGACUCACCCUCUGUCUAUUCUACACAGAGGACGAGUCAGGACACUCAAAAGCAGAGAACACCAUGAGGGUGGGAGUAGCCAGCUCUUAAAUAACCAAUCAGAAAAUGGUUGGAAAUGAUAACUGUAUCCCGCAAUGCUGUGAUUUUUUAGCUGUAGUCAAAGAUGGCGUCUGGCAAUGACGCAAACAUCUUUCUUUGGAAGAAAGGUUUUUAGCGCUUCUUCUUGUUGUGGUUUUAAAGACAUGUCCAAGUCAUCUCUGUCAUUCUGAACAGAGGAAAGAGCUGCAGCAAACUCCGCUUAAGAUGACAUCUUUGUUGUUUAUGAGAAACUGAGCAUCGCACAGACCCGGUGCCAGAGGACUUCACUUGGAGGGGCAGUGGGUUUUUC